rnacentral:rRNA from 1 species
UACGUAGGGUGCGAGCGUUAAUCGGAAUUACUGGGCGUAAAGAGCUCGUAGGUGGUUUGUCGCGUUGUUCGUGAAAACUCACAGCUCAACUGUGGGCGUGCGGGCGAUACGGGCAGACUGGAGUACUGCAGGGGAGACUGGAAUUCCUGGUGUAGCGGUGGAAUGCGCAGAUAUCAGGAGGAACACCGGUGGCGAAGGCGGGUCUCUGGGCAGUAACUGACGCUGAGGAGCGAAGGCGUGGGGAGCGAACAGG